AGGAGUAAGCAUUCGUUUAAACAUUUCUACGAAAAUAUUCUACUAGUUCAAGGAGACGGAAGAGGAAAACCUCUGUUAUUUAUCAUGCAGGUCUUAAGCUGUAUUGCAUACGCAAUCGUGCUUACCGUUUACUUAGUCUACAUAGCUGAUGCUAACGUUGGAGUUUGGCCUGAUGAUGGUUAGAGAUGCAACAUGUGGUAUAGCCUUACUGGAGAUAAGACCGGUAUUAAUGGCUAUGAAUUUCACAAAAGUCCAACCCAGAUUAACAACCGUAUUUCAGAAGCUUCUAAAGAAUAUAUGUCUAAAGAAUAUAUAUUUGCUGCCUAGGAUUGUUGCAACGAGAUUUUAAGUACCUUUUCUUAAUAGGACUGCUUUAAUACAGUUCAGAUAUAGAUGGCGAAAUUGUAAAUUAUUAAAUAAUAAAUAAAAUCACUGAAACAUG